CACGUAGGGUGCAAGCGUUGUCCGGAAUUAUUGGGCGUAAAGGGCUCGUAGGCGGUCCGUCACGUCGGGAGUGAAAACUCGGGGCUCAACCCCGAGCCUGCUUCCGAUACGGGCGGACUAGAGGUAGGUAGGGGAGAACGGAAUUCCUGGUGUAGCGGUGGAAUGCGCAGAUAUCAGGAGGAACACCGAUGGCGAAGGCAGGUCUCUGGGCAUUAACUGACGCUGAGGAGCGAAAGCAUGGGGAGCGAACAGG
rnacentral:rRNA from 1 species